UACGAAGGUGGCAAGCGUUAUUCGGAUUUACUGGGCGUACAGGGAGCGUAGGCGGUUCGGUAAGCCCUUUGUGAAAUCUUCAGGCUUAACCUGGGAAUGGCAUUCAGGACUGCGAGGCUCGAGUGUGGCAGAGGGAGGUGGAAUUCCACGUGUAGCAGUGAAAUGCGUAGAGAUGUGGAGGAACUCCGGUGGCGAAGGCGGCGUGCUGGACCUCUUCUGACGCUGAGGCGCGAAAGCCAGGGGAGCGAACGGG
rnacentral:rRNA from 1 species